rnacentral:rRNA from 1 species
UACGUAGGGGGCAAGCGUUAUCCGGAUUUACUGGGUGUAAAGGGAGCGUAGACGGCAAGGCAAGUCUGAUGUGAAAACCCAGGGCUUAACCCUGCGACUGCAUUGGAAACUGUCUGGCUCGAGUGCCGGAGAGGUAAGCGGAAUUCCUAGUGUAGCGGUGAAAUGCGUAGAUAUUAGGAAGAACACCAGUGGCGAAGGCGGCUUACUGGACGGUAACUGACGUUGAGGCUCGAAAGCGUGGGGAGCAAACAGG